rnacentral:SRP_RNA from 1 species
GCUGGGCAUGGUGGCGCGUGCCUGUAGUCCCAGCUACUCAGGAGGCUGAGGCAGGAGAAUCCCUUGAACCCAGGAGAUGGAGGUUGCAGUGAGCUGAGAUCACACCACUGCACUCCAGCCUGGGUAACAGAGUGAGAUUCCGUCUCAA